rnacentral:tRNA from 1 species
GAGGGUGUAGCUCAGUGGUAGAGCGCAUGCUUAGCAUGCACAAGGUCCUGGGUUCAAUCCCCAGGACCUCCU